rnacentral:rRNA from 1 species
AUUGAACGCUGGCGGCAGGCCUAACACAUGCAAGUCGAACGAGUGGCGGACGGGUGAGUAAUGUCUGGGAAACUGCCCGAUGGAGGGGGAUAACUACUGGAAACGGUAGCUAAUACCGCAUACCAUCGGAUGUGCCCAGAUGGGAUUAGCUAGUAGGUGGGGUAACGGCUCACCUAGGCGACGAUCCCUAGCUGGUCUGAGAGGAGGACCAGCCGCACUGUAACUGAGACACGGUCCAGACUCCGACGGGAGGCAGCAGUGGGGAAUAUUGCACAAUGGGCGGAAGCAUGAUGCAGCCAGGCCGCGGGUAUGAAGAAGGCCUUCGGGUUGUAAAGUACUUUCAGCGGGGAGGCGUUACCCGCAGAAGAAGCACCGGCUAACUCCGUGCCAGCAGCCGCGGUAAUUC